rnacentral:rRNA from 1 species
GAUGAACGCUGGCGGCGUGCCUAAUACAUGCAAGUCGAGCGAACAGACGAGGAGCUUGCUCCUCUGACGUUAGCGGCGGACGGGUGAGUAACACAUGGAUAACCUACCUAUAAGACUGGGAUAACUUCGGGGAACCGGAGCUAAUACCGCCUAAUAUAUUGAACCGCAUGGUUCAAUAGUGAAAGACGCUUUUGCUGUCACUUAUAGAUGGAUCCGCGUCGCAUUAGCUAGUUGGUAAGGUAACGGCUUACCAAGGCAACGAUGCGUAGCCGACCUGAGAGGGUGAUCGGCCACACUGGAACUGAGACACGGUCCAGACUCCUACGGGAGGCAGCAGUAGGGAAUCUUCCGCAAUGGGCGAAAGCCUGACGGAGCAACGCCGCGUGAGUGAUGAAGGUCUUCGGAUCGUAAAACUCUGUUAUUAGGGAAGAACAAAUGUGUAAGUAACUAUGCACGUCUUGACGGUACCUAAUCAGAAAGCCACGGCUAACUACGUG